rnacentral:rRNA from 1 species
UACGUAGGGGGCAAGCGUUGUCCGGAUUUAUUGGGCGUAAAGAGCGUGUAGGCGGCCAGGUAGGUCCGCUGUGAAAACUCGAGGCUCAACCUCGAGAUGUCGGCGGAAACCAUCUGGCUAGAGUCCGGAAGAGGAGAGUGGAAUUCCUGGUGUAGCGGUGAAAUGCGCAGAUAUCAGGAGGAACACCGGUGGCGAAGGCGGAUCUCUGGGCCUUACCUGACGCUCAGGUGCGAAAGCUAGGGGAGCGAACAGG